AAGAAUACAACAAGCAAUGAAAGAGAUUCAGGGUAUAAUUUCUCCUUUAUUGAGGAUUGCUGGAAGAUGAUAAACCGUAGCAGUAUUUUGAUCAACUGUUGGGUACUUCUUAGGAGUAUCUUUUAGUCUUCUUGGAUUUCUUUUCAAGAUGAGAAGUUUUGCAAUUUUAUUCAUUAGAUUCAGAACUAUCCUUAUCGUAUUGUUAUGUUUUGAUGCUUCAAUGAAAUUGUAGGGGGAAAAUAGUGCCUUACCAGGUUAUUCUCGG
rnacentral:lncRNA from 1 species